rnacentral:rRNA from 1 species
AUUGAACGCUGGCGGCAUGCUUUACACAUGCAAGUCGAACGGUAACAGGCCGCAAGGUGCUGACGAGUGGCGAACGGGUGAGUAAUGCAUCGGAACGUGCCCAGUCGUGGGGGAUAACUACUCGAAAGAGUAGCUAAUACCGCAUACGAUCUAUGGAUGAAAGCGGGGGACCGUAAGGCCUCGCGCGAUUGGAGCGGCCGAUGUCAGAUUAGGUAGUUGGUGGGGUAAAGGCUCACCAAGCCAACGAUCUGUAGCGGGUCUGAGAGGACGACCAGCCACACUGGGAGUGAGACACGGCCCAGACUCCUACGGGAGGCAGCAGUGGGGAAUCUUGGGCAAUGGGCGCAAGCCUGAUCCAGCAAUGCCGCGUGCAGGAAGAAGGCCUUCGGGUUGUAAACUGCUUUUGUACGGAACGAAACGGCUCUGGUUAAUACCCGGGGCUAAUGACGGUACCGUAAGAAUAAGCACCGGCUAACUACGUG